rnacentral:rRNA from 1 species
UACGUGAGGGGCGAACGUUGUUCGGUGUCACUGGGCUUAAAGGGUGCGUAGGUGGUUGCGUAAGUAAGGUGUGAAAUCCCUCGGCUUACCCGGGGAAUUGCAUUUUAUACUGCGUGGCUUGAGGACUAAAGGGGAAAAGGGAACUCCAGGUGUAGCGGUGAAAUGCGCAGAUAUCUGGGGGAAGGCCGGCGGCGAAGGCGAUUUUCUGGUUAGUACCUGACACUGAGGCACGAAAGCGUGGGGAGCAAACAGG